rnacentral:rRNA from 1 species
GACGAACGCUGGCGGCGUGCUUAACACAUGCAAGUCGAACGGAAAGGCCCGGCUCUUGUGGCGGACGCGAGUGGCGAGCGGGUGAAUAUCACGUGAGUAACCUGCCCUUAGCUGGGGGAGAACUUUAAGAAACUGUGGCUAAUACAGCAUAGGAGCUACUGCUCCAUAGGGGGGGCUGGAGAGUGUCGGCGGUGGUGGAUGGUCUCGGGGCUUAUCAGCUUGUUGGUGGGGUAGGGGCUUACCAGGGCUUUGACGGGUAGGGGGCCGUGGCGGGGGGCCGGCCACCAUACUAGGACGAUAAGGCGCAGAAUCCUACGGGAGGCAGCAGUGGGGAGGAUUUCACCACAAGGGGAAGCCUGAUGACGGAGCGACGCGUGCGGAAUGCAGGCCUUCGAGGUGUCAACAACUUUUGUUUGUGACGAAGAGUGAGUGACGGUAACGGGUAAAGAAGCACCGGCUAACUACGUG